GAUGAAGAACGUAGCGAAAUGCGAUACUUGGUGUGAAUUGCAGAAUCCCGUGAACCAUCGAGUCUUUGAACGCAAGUUGCGCCCGAAACCAUUAGGCCGAGGGCACGCCUGCCUGGGCGUCACACGUCGUUGCCCCCCCCAUCUACUCCUUCGGGAUUGCGGGGGGCGGAUGAUGGCCUCCCGUGCGCCUCGCCGCGCGGUUGGCAUAAAUGCCAAGUCCUCGGCGACGCACGCCACGAUAAUCGGUGGUUGCGAAACCUCGGUUGCCCGUCGUGUGCGGUCGUCGCGCAUCGAGGGCUCGAAAAAAUUGCCGGGUUUCGACUCGGCUUUCAACGCGACCCCAGGUCAGGCGGGGUUACCCGCUGAAUUUAAGCAUAUCAAUAAGCGGAGGA
rnacentral:misc_RNA from 1 species